AAGCUGAAAUGCAGUGUACAACCUGGGACGUCGCACCCAGAGCUGCCUCUGGCUAGAGGUCUUGUAGCUGGCUUAAGAGGGCAGAUGGAAGCAUCUGCCUCAGGGGCAGGUGAGCGGGCAGAGGUGUCUCCCACAGGCUCAGAUGAGUAAACUGCACUCUGAAGAGCUGUGUGCCAUGGCAGGCUCUCCACAGAAGUGGCUGAGGAUUUGAGAUGAGGCCAGAGAGCGACAAGGAGCGGCACAUGCAGUGAUGGUUUCCAAGCACUGCGCUUGCUUUCUCUUCUGUUUAUCAGGUGCUACAGGCAAGGUUAUUUCCAUCUUUCCUUGUUCACAAGAAACUUUCGCAUCCAGUUUUUCCAGCAAGUCCCUUCCUAAGAAGGACCUUGGCAAACUGGCUAUGAAAAAGAAGCCUAAAAAGAGGGACAUGUUGUACGCAGUGCAGAAAAGAAAAAUUCACAAGAUACAAGGCCAGUGAAGUUCAGUCACCUUCUUUGUGCACGCACCUUUUCUUACAAUGGGAGGGACUCUUUCACAGAACUUCAGCCACUCCCCAGCUGUCCUUCACAAGCCUCCUCAAGGCCUUUCUUUGCUGCACUGCCUACAAAUCACCGUCACCCGUCACCCGGUAGUCUUGAAGCUGGAGGCCAUCUGUGACCAUGGUGACUGCUGAUUUAUGGAAGCACACCCAUCUUUGUUAUUCACACCACCUUCUUGUACACAUUUUCCCCUUAGUCACCGUAUUUCUUUCUUGUCUUGGGAACAUGGAGUGCAAAGAGUCUGGGGUGGGAACUGCCUAAAGUAAUGAAUAAGAGGUGCAAAAUAGAUCAAGUAGAGCAUUGUGAAAAAUAUAUUGAGAAAUAAUAAUAUGUUUGGAGUGCAUAUUUGUCAAAACAAGAUUGUAUCAAAUAUAAUUACAGAGGAAGACAUAUCUACCGAAGUAUGUAGGCCAGAAUCAAUGAUCAAGCCAAAGACUGGAAGGACCGUGGUGACAUAACACUCACUAUCAUUAAAUCUAGACAAGCCUCCAUCUAAUUUAGUGUAGCCUUGAAGCCGUUCUGAAUUUUCUUGUCUUUCAUAGCUCUCAGGGUGCAGUUGUGUCCCAGGGCUCACCAGAGCUUUGACACUUUUGGGACAUGUGUAAGCCCCCAGCGCUGGUGGCUGAGAAGAGGACACAGUGUGUCAGAGAUUCUUCUGGUAGAUUUGUCCUGUGUUUCCUCUGUCCUGGAGAAUUCUCAAGGGACAAGUUAGAAGAGCUUUAUGGCUGCCAUGCCUCUCUGGAAAGAGGCCAAACAUUUACCUUUUUAUAGAACUAUAUUAAGGCAAUCUAGGAAUGUAUGUAAGUGGGAAGCACUUGAAUCUAUGUAAAGAAAACUUGUUAUAUUCAUCAGAA